rnacentral:rRNA from 1 species
UACGGAGGGGGCUAGCGUUGUUCGGAAUUACUGGGCGUAAAGCGCACGUAGGCGGCUUUGUAAGUUAGAGGUGAAAGCCCGGGGCUCAACUCCGGAAUUGCCUUUAAGACUGCAUCGCUAGAAUUGUGGAGAGGUAAGUGGAAUUCCGAGUGUAGAGGUGAAAUUCGUAGAUAUCAGGAGGAACACCGGUGGCGAAGGCGGCCCUCUGGACGGUGACUGACGCUGAGACGCGAAAGCGUGGGGAGCAAACAGG